GUGUCAGCAGCCGCGGUAAUACGUAGGGUGCGAGCGUUAAUCGGAAUUACUGGGCGUAAAGCGUGCGCAGGCGGAUUGUUAAGCAAGAUGUGAAAUCCCCGGGCUUAACCUGGGAAUGGCAUUUUGAACUGGCAGUCUAGAGUGCGUCAGAGGGGGGUGGAAUUCCACGUGUAGCAGUGAAAUGCGUAGAGAUGUGGAGGAACACCAAUGGCGAAGGCAGCCCCCUGGGAUGACACUGACGCUCAUGUACGAAAGCGUGGGUAGCAAACAGGAUUAGAUACCCCGGUAGUC
rnacentral:rRNA from 1 species